rnacentral:rRNA from 1 species
ACCGCAAACCGACACAGGUAGUCAAGAUGAGAAUUCUAAGGUGAGCGAGCGAACUCUCGUUAAGGAACUCGGCAAAAUGACCCCGUAACUUCGGGAGAAGGGGUGCUCUUUAGGGUUAACGCCCAGGAGAGCCGCAGUGAAUAGGCCCAAGCGACUGUUUAUCAAAAACACAGGUCUCUGCUAAACCGUAAGGUGAUGUAUAGGGGCUGACGCCUGCCCGGUGCUGGAAGGUUAAGAGGAGUGGUUAGCUUCUGCGAAGCUACGAAUCGAAGCCCCAGUAAACGGCGGCCGUAACUAUAACGGUCCUAAGGUAGCGAAAUUCCUUGUCGGGUAAGUUCCGACCCGCACGAAAGGCGUAACGAUUUGGGCACUGUCUCAACGAGAGACUCGGUGAAAUCAUAGUACCUGUGAAGAUGCAGGUUACCCGCGACAGGACGGAAAGACCCCGUGGAGCUUUACUGUAGUCUGAUAUUGAAAUUCGGCACAGCUUGUACAGGAUAGGUAGGAGCCUGAGAUACGUGAGCGCUAGCUUACGUGGAGGCGUUGGUGGGAUACUACCCUCGCUGUGUUGGAUUUCUAACCCGCACCAUUUAUCAUGGUGGGAGACAGUGUCAGAUGGGCAGUUUGACUGGGGCGGUCGCCUCCUAAAGAGUAACGGAGGCGCUCAAAGGUUUCCUCAGAAUGGUUGGAAAUCAUUCAUAGAGUGUAAAGGCAUAAGGAAGCUUGACUGCGAGACUUACAAGUCGAGCAGGGUCGAAAGACGGACUUAGUGAUCCGGUGGUUCCGCAUGGAAGGGCCAUCGCUCAACGGAUAAAAGCUACCCCGGGGAUAACAGGCUUAUCUCCCCCAAGAGUUCACAUCGACGGGGAGGUUUGGCACCUCGAUGUCGGCUCAUCGCAUCCUGGGGCUGUAGUCGGUCCCAAGGGUUGGGCUGUUCGCCCAUUAAAGCGGUACGCGAGCUGGGUUCAGAACGUCGUGAGACAGUUCGGUCCCUAUCCGUCGUGGGCGUAGGAAAUUUGAGAGGAGCUGUCCUUAGUACGAGAGGACCGGGAUGGACAUACCUCUGGUGUACCAGUUGUCGUGCCAACGGCAUCGCUGGGUAGCUAUGUAUGGACGGGAUAAGUGCUGAAAGCAUCUAAGCAUGAAGCCCCCCUCAAGAUGAGAUUUCCCAACUUCGGUUAUAAGAUCCCUCAAAGAUGAUGAGGUUAAUAGGUUCGAGGUGGAAGCAUAGCGAUAUGUGCAGCUGACGAAUACUAAUCGAUCGAAGACUUAAUCAA